GGGGUGGGACCUCCGCAAUGCGCGAAAGCGCGACGGGGCCACCCCGAGUGCCGCCCGCUGAGGGUGGCUUUUCCCCGGUGUAGACAGCCGGGGGAAUAAGGAGAGGGCAAGUCUGGUGUCAGCCGCCGCGGUAAUACCAGCUCUCCGAGUGGUGGGGACGAUUAUUGGGCCUAAAGCGUCCGUAGCCGGCCCAGCAAGUCCUCCGUUAAAUCCAGCGAUCCAAUCGCUGGACUGCGGGGGAUACUGCUGGGCUAGGGGGCGGGAGAGGCCGGCGGUAUUCCCGGGGUAGGGGUGAAAUCCUAUAAUCCCGGGAGGACCACCAGUGGCGAAGGCUGCCGGCUGGAACGCGCCCGACGGUGAGGGACGAAAGCCGGGGGAGCGAACCGGAUUAGAUACCCGGGUAGUCCCGGCCGUAAACGAUGCGGGCUAGGUGUUUGGGACGGCUACGAGCCGUCCCAGUGCCGCAGGGAAGCCGUUAAGCCCGCCGCCUGGGGAGUACGGCCGCAAGGCUGAAACUUAA
rnacentral:rRNA from 1 species